CAGAAAACGGGUACACCAUCGCUCAUGAACAAAGCUUUGGUACGACGAUUACUGGAAAUGAUGACGAUGAGAUAGAAUGCUGCAAAAAUUAUGCUCGUCGUUGUAUCGUUCACUUGGCUAAGCGUGCAUCUGUUCGUUCAGCCGUCACGUGUUUGGAACUCACCACAGAGAGAAAGCAAGAAAUCAAGGAGAAAUUGAUGACAUUUCCACUAUUACGACCCUAUGUUGUAGUCAACCCUUUCUGGAUUGAUGAAGGAACUGAUGAGGAUGCUACCGAGUCUGACCAAAGUGAAGAAGAAGAAGAGGACGAACCGGAAGUCAAACGACGGAAGAAUGACGAGACAGGAGCUUGAAGAAACUUGCAACAACGAAAAUUUACUUCCAGUUGUAGUUAUAACGAGGAAAACUGAGAAUGAGGACUGAUUACCAAACAUGUUUUUGUGGCAUCACAAUGUUAAAUAAAAUUAGUUAUACUUUUAAAA